rnacentral:rRNA from 1 species
AGUAGCGGCGAGCGAACAGGGAAGAGUCCAGCACCGAACCCCGCAGGCUGCCGCCUGUCGUGGCAUGUGGUGUUUGGGAGGGUCCACUACCCCGACGCCUCGCGCCGAGUCCAAGUCCAACUUGAAUGAGGCCACGGCCCGUAGAGGGUGCCAGGCCCGUAGCGGCCGGUGCGAGCGUCGGCGGGACCUCUCCUUCGAGUCGGGUUGCUUGAGAGUGCAGCUCCAAGUGGGUGGUAAACUCCAUCUGAGACUAAAUAUGACCACGAGACCGAUAGCGAACAAGUACCGUGAGGGAAAGUUGAAAAGAACUUUGAAGAGAGAGUUCAAAAGUACGUGAAACCGUUCUGGGGUAAACGUGAGAAGUCCGAAAGGUCGAACGGGCGAGAUUCACGCCCAUCCGGCCACUGGCCCCCGCCCUCGGCAGAUGGGGCCGGCCGCCCGCGCGGAGCAAUCCGCGGCGGGGUCGUGUCCGGUUGCCUUUCCACUCGCCGCGGGGCGGGGCCGUUCCAGUGCGCGGUGGGCCGCACUUCUCCCCUAGUAGGACGUCGCGACCCGCUGGGUGCCGGCCUACGGCCCGGGUGCGCAGCCUGUCCUUCCGCGGGCCUCGGUCCGCGUCUGUUGGGCAGAGCCCCGGUGCCCCGGCUGGCUGCUCGGCGGUACAUCUGGAGGAGUCGAUUCGCCAAACAAAUACCGUUUGGGCGCCCGGGCUCCCGGCAAGCGCGCGCGGUUCUUCCCGGAUGACGGACCUACCUGGCCCGGCCCCGGACCCGCGCCGCUGUUGGCUCGGGACGCUCUCGGGCGGAAUAAUCGCUCCCGUCAGCGGCGCUUCAGCUUUGGACAAUUUCACGACCCGUCUUGAAACACGGACCAAGGAGUCUAACAUGUGCGCGAGUCAUUGGGCCGUGCGAAGCCUAAAGGCGCAAUGAAAGUGAAGGUCUCGCCUUGCGCGGGCCGAGGGAGGAUGGGGCUUCCCCGCCCCUUGACGGGGCGGCGGCCUCCGCACUCCCGGGGCGUCUCGUCCUCAUUGCGAGGUGAGGCGCACCUAGAGCGUACACGUU